rnacentral:tRNA from 1 species
UCCGUUAUCGUCCAGCGGUCAGGAUAUCUGGCUUUCACCCAGGAGACCCGGGUUCGAUUCCCGGUAACGGAA